rnacentral:lncRNA from 1 species
UUUUUUUUUCGUACAAACAUCUAAAAUUGUCUAAAUAUCUUAAAUAUUACAGUUAACUUUAAACGAGUUAAGUGACAUUUUCGUCUCUGUGGUUCCUUCAAUUAUGUAAGUUCAGAUCAAAUUUUAAAUUUAUAUCAUUUUUGUCCUUGACAUUUUUGAAACAUACCAGUUCAGUCAAAAAACAUGACUUUUUGAAUGAAACUAGGAUGUUUUAAGAAUGUUUGGGACGGAAAUGAUACAAAUUUAAAAUUUGGUCUGAAAUGACAUAAUUAAAGAAACUACGAGGACGGAAAUAGCAGUCGACUCUAAACUAGUCAAAUAAGCAAAAUUUAAUCUUACGAAGCAUAAUUAUCUU